rnacentral:lncRNA from 1 species
CUUACGUAAAACUUAGGGUAAGUUUGCUUUUGGGACUGAUGUGAAAUACUUCUGGCUCUUCAUCUCCUGAGCCGUGACAUUGAUUAUUCACACACAUUUUUAUUGUGGGCUGUGUUAGGCAGGCAUUUUAUGGGAGGUUUUAUGUUUGGCCUCUAAGAACUGUGGACAAGAAGGGGAGGGGGGAGAGGGAGGGGGGAGUCUACCUGAUCUCUGUCCCUGGCAGAUGCUAUGAAUAAGUUAUUUACAGCAAGUGAUUCACAGUCAGAAGACAGAGGAGAGAUAAGCAGCUCUUUUUCAUGGCCUGUAUCUGCUGUGCCUGCCUGUCAAGAGAUGCCCGUACAGGUACUUUUUCUAUAUGCUGAGCACAGCCCAGAUUCUAGCAAGACGAGGGGAAGGAUCUGUCUGAUGGUUCUUAGAGAUUCUGCUGUCACAUGCUUUUCAGCUUUCACACAGGCUUGA